UACAGAGGUCUCAAGCGUUGUUCGGAUUCAUUGGGCGUAAAGGGUGCGUAGGCGGCGCGGUAAGUCGGGUGUGAAAUCUCGGAGCUUAACUCCGAAACUGCAUUCGAUACUGUCGGGCUAGAGUCCGGAAGAGGCGAGUGGAAUUCCUGGUGUAGCGGUGAAAUGCGCAGAUAUCAGGAGGAACACCAAUGGCGAAGGCAGCUCGCUGGGACGGUACUGACGCUGAGGCGCGAAAGCGUGGGGAGCAAACAGG
rnacentral:rRNA from 1 species